AGACUCCUCCUCGAGCACGCAGGCAGGGAAGCCCGGAUCGCCGGGCUCGACGGGAUUCUCCCCCAGGAAGAUUCCGCAACUAUGCCCCCCUCAACGCAUCGAAAAUCCAGGUGCUGAUGGAGGUCAGAGAGCAACUCCCUAGGCCAGAGAGGAUGCGCACGCACCCCGAGAAACGCAAUCCGAACAAGUUCUGCCUCUACCAUCGUGACCA
rnacentral:lncRNA from 1 species